rnacentral:lncRNA from 1 species
UUUUCAAACAUAAAACAGGAAAUACAAUAACGAGAGACUAGAUAAACUCAACUAUACUACGAAAAACUCUGACAACAACUAAAAGAAUUGGUACUACUGAAUAUGAUUAUAAAGUACAAGACAACAACAAAAAAAUCCUUAAGCAACUCCUGGAUGCAACGAUCCUAACUAAGAGGGUCCUUGGGCAUCUGUCAUGCCCAAGCUCUGAUAAGUAGAUCCACACCUGUAUGAGAGAAAUAAGACCAAAUAGAGUUAAAGACUUAGAACACUAUGUGAGACAAUAAGACUUCUUAUUAGACACAUGCAAGAUAUGAUUGAGGCUAUUUUACAAAAUGGCUUAUGUGGCCAAAAGGUGGCUAGAAGUGCAAACACAACAAAAAGUGACCUCUAAGACAUUGAAAAAUUACUUUGCAGAAAUGACCCAUUUUGUAGAAAUGGCCUAUCUGGACGACUUUAAGACAUGGGUCACUGAACCAUUUUUGCGAAAAUGACCCCAUUUUGCAAGAACGGCCAAUAUGGUCAAAAGCGGAUAGACAUGCAAAUUCGAUAAGGAUGGGCCUUAAAGUAAAGAGACACCUGUGGAUUCAAGAAUCUUUAGAAAAUUAAACAAACCACUUUGCAAAAAUAGCCAUAUUUUGCAAAAUGACCGAUGCGGCCAAAAGUGGCUAAAGAUGCAAGAUUUGGCUACGGCCCUCGAAGCCAUGAACCUAAGAUUUACUAAAAAGACCGGACCCUAUGUGGGUUGCCUACGUAUCACGCCCCGAAAGACGAGAAUCAGGUAUGCGUAGUUCAGGCAGAUUAGAUACGGUCGAGAAUUAAAAAAAAUACUAAUUUGAAGAAAACAUAUUUUUUGUCUUUUUUUAAAAAAAAUAAUGGGGGAAGCGCAAAAUAACUGGACCCCUACUUGCUUUAUUUUCACACUUCACCCUCUUUUCUUUCUCAUUUACCCUCAACCAUCAUUGGUCUGCCAAAUGACCCUUUUACCCUUGAAGAAAUGCAACAUGUAGCACAUAGGAUGCAUCAAGAUGGUCUUUUAUUUUUGGGUAUACCUGUCCUAGACGAACCCAACACCUGUGUUGAGUCCCUAAAGUCAAAUGCACAUGAUGCAAAUAACGUUCCUACUAGGGAUCCGGUAUGAGGCUAUGUUGUUCUAGGUUUAAACCUGGGGUUGUGUUCUAGACCUGGCUUACCCGAGCGGACAGCUCGAGCCAAGAUGGGGGCAACGUACCGGGAGCACGAAAGUCUACCCGGCCUUGUUGUUGGCCCAGCCUCGCUCUAUUUGGUGUAACUUCUAAUAGAAAAGUGGGCCACGCGGACGUGUGCACCAUUUUUUAGAAGACUCAGAUGGGAAACGUAAGAAGACAAUUUAAUAAUAUCAAAGCGAUAAAUAAACGGCAAUUAGCACAUUAGGCCCACAAAAUACAGUAAUAUCAACAAUAAAUAAAGCCAAGUAAAAAUCACAUUAACAAGCUCGAAUUCUUGAACCAUGAACCAGAGAUUCUGGAUUCUUUCCCCAGCAGAGUCGCCAGAGCUAUCACACCUCCUUUUUCUAUCCCGGAAAGGGAUAGGGAGUUUUUUCAAUUAAAGUGACAAUAAUCGAAACGGGAUUAUUUAUUCAAAUUCAAAGUCACCACUUGGGACAAUUUAUGGUGUCCCAAGUCAUCAGAUUAAAAUCCCGAAUCGAGAAGUUUGACUCUUAUUUAUGGUCUGUGAACACAGAAAUCCGGGUAAGGAAUUCUGUUAACCCGAGAGAAGGUGUUAGGCAUUCCCCGGUUCCGUGGUUUUAGAACAGUCGCUUUAAUCAUACUUGGCUUAAUUAAAUUGUAUGAUUACUUAUUUUUAAACCUAUGUGCAUUUUACUUUUUUUAAAUAAGAAACUAUCCUAAAACGAGUCACGCGUACGUAUACUCAUUUUGUUCGGUGCGUCAAGAAUCAUGUCACGUGUACGUGUACACAAUUAAUUACGCUUUAUUAAUUACUAAAAAAAUUUGGUUGUAGUUGCACGAACGCAUACUUUGAAUUUAUUUGAAAGGAAUGUAAUCAUGAUAACAACAACAAAAAUCGUGCCUAAAAGCAUCUCUACGAAUAUUCAUUAUAGAAAUCGUAAUCGCGUCACGCAAACGUAUACAUAAUCAUGAUAAUAAAUUAAGUUACGCCUAAAAAAGUCAUUUUGACCUACCAGAAACAAGAAUAAUCAAACUACCAUUAUCAAACAAACGAAUUAAAAGCAAUCAAUUAGAACAGCAGAAACACAAUGAACGAAACGUAAAUUCUGAGUAACAAGGCCCACAGGCAAAAUUCCAUGCAAUUCAAGAAUGUAGAAGUCAGGUCUCCUUUACUUGCUUUCAAUAGUUAUAAUCCUGGUUUUCAACCUUAAUCUCAAGUUCUAAACUAUACUCAUUGCUGAAGCUCAUACUACUGUAUACAAAUCAAAUUAAUCGAGCCGGAAAACAUAAACUAAUAAACCACUUUAAACAGAUUUUAGAUUAAUAAGAGGUAAAUAAAAUAAUUAAUUGCAUUCAUAUCUCAAACACAUAAGAAGAACACUGAAAAUUAACUAAGAACGAGGUUAAGAGUGGACCUCAAAUAGAACCUUGACAAUUAACGAAAUAUCCGACUUUUGAAAUUUGAAACGCGGACCGGACGAACCUCGAACGAAAAUACACCCCAAGAAACAGAAGACCACUGAUCGAAAUCGCUGACCAGAGGCGACGACCUAAAAAUUUAAACGGAAACAUAGGCGAUAACGUAGAAAUUUAAAUGGGAACAGAAGAUCUAAGGAUUCUACCCUUUUAUCACUAUUUUUUUUGUUUUUGACUGAAGAUAGUCGUCGGCGAUGGCGGCAGCGAGAGAUGAAGAGAUGAAGGGGUUAUGAUAGUGGUUGGCUACUCUUCUUCUCUUAUGCUUGAGGUGACUGAUGAGAGGUGAAAGAGGAAUGAGUGCCGCUGGUGGUACAAGGCGGCGACAGAAACGGCUUUCCGGUGGGUUUGAUGUGCAGCGGUGGCGGGGGUGGGUCUCCUUUUGGUUUAGCGUUAGAUCUGAUCUUUUUUGGGUUUUUCUUAUUCUCAACCUAAAGGAGAAGAGUGCUCAAAUGUUAGGGAAAACGGUUGUCUUAUUGUGUGGAUUUGUUAAGAAGAAGCCAUGGAAAAUGGCUGCUUGCCUCUCUGAAGAAGAUGAGCCGAUCGGGGGGGGGGUCCUUGUUUUUUGUCUGAUGCGGCUGAUUUUUUAGAUAGGGAUUCUGGGUUCGUUUAUUGUUUGUCGAUGAUGGGUGUUUUAAGUAGUAUAUGUUUUUGGUCUUAGGGUUAGGUUAGUGGGUUUGGGUAUUGGGCUUAGGCUGUUUGGGCUAAGG